rnacentral:rRNA from 1 species
UACGAAGGGGGCUAGCGUUGUUCGGAAUCACUGGGCGUAAAGGGCGCGUAGGCGGCCGAUCAAGUCGGGGGGUGAAAGCCUGUGGCUCACCACAGAAUUGCCUUCGAUACUGUUUGGCUUGAGACCGGAAGAGGUAAGUGGAACUGCGAGUGUAGAGGUGAAAUUCGUAGAUAUUCGCAAGAACACCAGUGGCGAAGGCGGCUUACUGGUCCGGUUCUGACGCUGAGGUGCGAAAGCGUGGGGGAGCAAACAGGAUUAGA